UGGCAUAUCCAAAAGCGGAGGAAAAGAAACCAACAGGGAUUGCCUCAGUAACGGCGAGUGAAGCGGCAAAAGCUCAAAUUUGAAACCCUCGGGAUUGUAAUUUGAAGAUUUGGCAUUGGAGAAAGCUAACCCAAGUUGCUUGGAAUAGUACGUCAUAGAGGGUGACAACCCCGUCUGGCUAACCGUUCUCCAUGUAUUGCCUUAUCAAAGAGUCGAGUUGUUUGGGAAUGCAGCUCAAAGUGGGUGGUAAACUCCAUCUAAAGCUAAAUACUGGUGAGAGACCGAUAGCGAACAAGUACUGUGAAGGAAAGGUGAAAAGAACUUUGAAAAGAGAGUGAAAUAGUAUGUGAAAUUGUUGAUAGGGAAGGAAAUGAGUGGAGAGUGGCCGAGGUUUCAGCCGCCCCUCGUGGGCGGUGUACUGCCGACGCCGAGUCAUCGAUAGCGAGACGAGGGUUACAAAUGGGAGCGCCUUCGGGCGUUCUCCCCUAACCCUCCACACUGCCACCGACGACAUAAUCCACCCAUUUCACCCGUCUUGGA
rnacentral:rRNA from 1 species